rnacentral:rRNA from 1 species
UACGUAGGGACCGAGCGUUGUCCGGAUUCAUUGGGCGUAAAGAGCUCGUAGGCGGCCACUCAAGUCGAAUGUGAAACCUCGAGGCUCAACCUCGAGCCUGCAUUCGAUACUGGGCGGCUAGAGUCUGGUAGGGGGAUCUGGGAUUCCUGGUGUAGCGGUGAAAUGCGCAGAUAUCAGGAGGAACACCGAUGGCGAAGGCAGCUCGCUGGGACGGUACUGACGCUGAGGCGCGAAAGCGUGGGGAGCAAACAGG